UACGUAGGGUGCGAGCGUUAAUCGGAAUUACUGGGCGUAAAGCGUGCGCAGGCGGUUGGCAAAGUCAGCUGUGAAAGCCCCGGGCUUAACCUGGGAAUGGCGGUUGAAACUAGUCGACUCGAAUCUGGCAGAGGGGGGUGGAAUUCCACGUGUAGCAGUGAAAUGCGUAGAGAUGUGGAGGAACACCGAUGGCGAAGGCAGCCUCCUGGGCCAGCACUGACGCUCAUGCACGAAAGCGUGGGGAGCAAACAGG
rnacentral:rRNA from 1 species